AGAGUUGAUCCUGGCUCAGAACGAACGCUGGCGGCAGGCCUAACACAUGCAAGUCGAACGGACCCUUCGGGGUCAGUGGCAGACGGGUGAGUAACGCGUGGGAAUCUACCCGGUUCUUCGGAAUAACCCAGGGAAACUUGGGCUAAUACCGGAUACGCCCUUAGGGGGAAAGAUUUAUCGGAAUUGGAUGAGCCCGCGUCGGAUUAGCUAGUUGGUGGGGUAAUGGCCUACCAAGGCGACGAUCCGUAGCUGGUCUGAGAGGAUGAUCAGCCACACUGGGACUGAGACACGGCCCAGACUCCUACGGGAGGCAGCAGUGGGGAAUAUUGGACAAUGGGCGCAAGCCUGAUCCAGCCAUGCCGCGUGAGUGAUGAAGGCCUUAGGGUUGUAAAGCUCUUUCAGCGGGGAAGAUAAUGACGGUACCCGCAGAAGAAGCCCCGGCUAACUUCGUGCCAGCAGCCGCGGUAAUACGAAGGGGGCUAGCGUUGUUCGGAAUUACUGGGCGUAAAAGGCGCGUAGGCGGACUGUUAAGUCAGGGGUGAAAUCCCGGGGCUCAACCCCGGAACUGCCUUUGAUACUGGCGGUCUUGAGUUCGGGAGAGGUGAGUGGAAUUC
rnacentral:rRNA from 1 species